rnacentral:tRNA from 1 species
GCGCUGGUAGCUCAGCGGUAGAGCAAGGGCCUUUUAAGCCCGUGGUCGAGGGUUCGAUCCCCUCCCAGCGCACCA